GGGCGCGUAGGCGGAUUAUCAAGUCUCUUGUGAAAUCUAAUGGCUUAACCAUUAAACUGCUUGGGAAACUGAUAGUCUAGAGUGAGGGAGAGGCAGAUGGAAUUGGUGGUGUAGGGGUAAAAUCCGUAGAUAUCACCAAGAAUACCCAUUGCGAAGGCGAUCUGCUGGAACUCAACUGACGCUAAGGCGCGAAAGCGUGGGGAGCAAACAGGAUUAGAUACCCUGGUAGUCCACGCCCUAAACGAUGUACACUAGUUGUUGGGGUGCUAGUCAUCUCAGUAAUGCAGCUAACGCAUUAAGUGUACCGCCUGGGGAGUACGGUCGCAAGAUUAAAACUCAAAGGAAUAGACGGGGACCCGCACAAGCGGUGGAGCAUGUGGUUUAAUUCGAAGAUACGCGAAGAACCUUACCUGGGCUUGAUAUCCUAAGAACCUUUUAGAGAUAAGAGGGUGCUAGCUUGCUAGAACUUAGAGACAGGUGCUGCACGGCUGUCGUCAGCUCGUGUCGUGAGAUGUUGGGUUAAGUCCCGCAACGAGCGCAACCCACGUAUUUAGUUGCUAACGGUUCGGCCGAGCACUCUAAAUAGACUGCCUUCGUAAGGAGGAGGAAGGUGUGGACGACGUCAAGUCAUCAUGGCCCUUAUGCCCAGGGCGACACACGUGCUACAAUGGCAUAUACAAUGAGACGCAAUACCGCGAGGUGGAGCAAAUCUAUAAAAUAUGUCCCAGUUCGGAUUGUUCUCUGCAACUCGAGAGCAUGAAGCCGGAAUCGCUAGUAAUCGUAGAUCAGCCAUGCUACGGUGAAUACGUUCCCGGGUCUUG
rnacentral:rRNA from 1 species